CCGGCGCACGGGUGAGUAACACGUAUGCAAUUCACCUGUAACAGGGGGAUAACCCGGAGAAAUCCGGACUAAUACCCCAUAAUAUGGGCGCUCCGCAUGGAGAGUUCAUUAAAGAGAGCAAUUUUGGUUACAGACGAGCAUGCGCUCCAUUAGCCAGUUGGCGGGGUAACGGCCCACCAAGGCGACGAUGGAUAGGGGUUCUGAGAGGAAGGUCCCCCACAUUGGAACUGAGACACGGUCCAA
rnacentral:rRNA from 1 species